rnacentral:rRNA from 1 species
GUAGGUCACAAGCGUUGUCCGGAAUUACUGGGUGUAAAGGGAGCGCAGGCGGGAAGACAAGUUGGAAGUGAAAUCCAUGGGCUCAACCCAUGAACUGCUUUCAAAACUGUUUUUCUUGAGUAGUGCAGAGGUAGGCGGAAUUCCCGGUGUAGCGGUGGAAUGCGUAGAUAUCGGGAGGAACACCAGUGGCGAAGGCGGCCUACUGGGCACCAACUGACGCUGAGGCUCGAAAGUGUGGGUAGCAAACAGGAUUAGAUACCCUGGUAGUCCACGCCGUAAACGAUGAAUGCCAGCCGUUAGUGGGUUUACUCACUAGUGGCGCAGCUAACGCUUUAAGCAUUCCGCCUGGGGAGU